rnacentral:rRNA from 1 species
CCUACGGGUGGCAGCAGUGAGGAAUAUUGGUCAAUGGGCGAGAGCCUGAACCAGCCAAGUCGCGUGAGGGAGUACUGCCCUAUGGGUUGUAAACCUCUUUUGUCGGGGAGCAAAAGCCGGACGUGUCCGGCUGUGAGAGUACCCGAAGAAAAAGCAUCGGCUAACUCCGUGCCAGCAGCCGCGGUAAUACGGAGGAUGCGAGCGUUAUCCGGAUUUAUUGGGUUUAAAGGGUGCGCAGGCGGAUUUUUAAGUCAGCGGUAAAAUCGGGGGGCUCAACCCCAUCCAGCCGUUGAAACUGGGGAUCUAGAGUGUGCGAGAGGUAUGCGGAAUGCGUGGUGUAGCGGUGAAAUGCAUAGAUAUCACGCAGAACCCCGAUUGCGAAGGCAGCAUACCGGUGCACAACUGACGCUCAGGCACGAAAGCGUGGGUAUCGAACAGGAUUAGAUACCCCAGUAGUC